UAGGGUCUGUAAGUCUCGUCACGUGACUCGCGAGAUUUUUCGAUAAUAUUAAGUUCCAGGUACCUCACACAUGGAGAUGUGUAUUGGGUUAUGCAUGUUUAUGGUUUACACAAAGCGUAUAAGGAAAGUUUAAGCAGUUGUACAAAGCCGAAGGAUUCUCCGACUUACGAUGGAUAAAUUGAGGGUCGUAAAAGCUUGGGUGCGAGCAAGUAGGAGGAGAAUUUCGAUCGAAGUACAGAUUUUUCUUGAAUUCGAGGAUAAUGAUGUUAUUACCAGCUGAUUAAGGAGGUAGUGUAAGUGUCAGAUGGGUACGAACGUCAUCUUGUGACAGCAUCACCUUUGUGUGGCUAAAGUACAAGAGAACUGCAGCAUCUAAGACUACAUGUACAUCGACUUUGAAUAAUCUACCCGGUAUAUCCUCAAAAAGGCAACUCAAAUACAGAAAGUGCAUAUAAUUUGGAAAAGAGACCAUCAAUCCACUGGGGGGUAUCGCAUGAAAGCAAUGAUUAUAGAAUAUUGUAAGGCUGGAGGAGUUAUAGUACAACAGG